AGCUGGAUCAUUUUCCGAUGAUCAAAAAAACAAAACCCAAAAACCCCGUCUGCGUGUUUUUCCCCCUCAAAAAGGGAGAGACACUGCAGCGCAACAAAACCCCAAAACAAAACCAAUGCCGCUCGAGGGAAAAGAAACACAAAACCUUCUUCUCCCUUGGAGCACGGCUUUCACAACGUGUCGCGAUGGAUGACUUGGCUUCCUAUUUCGUUGAAGAACGCAGCAAAGUGCGAUAAGUGGUAUCAAUUGCAGAAUCACUCAAUUACCGAAUCUUUGAACGCAAAUGGCGCCCGGGAGAAGCCUUCUACGGCCAUCCCCGUGCAUGCCGUAUCGCUCAGUGUCGAACAAAAACCCAACUUCACAAAAGAGCCUUGGCUUGUGAGGAGAAGUUUACUUUUUCUUGCGGUCGAGUGGUUACCCCGAAUCAACCGUCAAACCGUCGAUUCAUGGGUAAUGUACAAACGUUAUUUGUCAGGAUCGGGGGGGUUCAUCUCCCUCUUUUCUGACAAAAUCAACAAGUGCAAACUUCGUUGGUGUUCUUUUGUGUGGGUUCACCCCUGCAUGAAAAACAAACAAACAAACCUCUUUUGUUACAGACCUGAGUGCGGCAGGAUCACCCGCCGAACUUAAGCAUAUUACUCAGCGGAGGAAAAGAAAACAACCGUGAUUCCCUCAGUGAGCGGCGAGCGAAGAGGGACCGAACUCGAUGCCGAAUCGGGCUUCACAGAGCCUUGAGUUGUGGCAAGCUGCUUCGUGACUGGUGUGGGAUUGGCGAAAUUCAAUGCGUAAAGCAAACCCAUUGCUGAACACAACCCUUCAUGUGAGUAUUGAGCCAAAGAAGGUGACAGCCCAUUGAGCCAAAAACCCGAGCACCUCACUAAGUAGUACCAAACGAGUAGCGCUUCUUGGGAGUGAAGCGUCAAUAGGCAGGUAUGUGUCUGCCAAAGUUAAAUACAGAGUAGGAAGACCGAUAUCGAACAAGUAGCGUGAGCGAAAGUUUGAAAAGCACUUUGGAAAGAGAGUGACAUAGAACCUGAAGUCGUGACAAUGACAAUGGAAGCAUCUCCAUUUGAUCGCCAAAACCAGCCUCCCAGCAUCAUCUUUAUCGGACUUGCGCCGGUGGAGCAACGACUGCAGAACCGGGGCGUGGUGACAUGAGCGGAGCUAAAGUGGGACGCACUGCCUAGCAGCGAGCGCUUACUUCUCCGUGACCUCGAUGUUGGCGCAAGGCAAUGGGAUGCCUUCACCCGUCUUGAAACACGGACCAAGGAGUCAAACAGACACGCAAGAGGGAAGAUAUUGUUAACAGUACUUCUCUCGUACUGAAAGGGUGAUACCUAGUAUCAUGGUGUGCACACAAACGAAUGCCCAACACCAACCGGCCCGUACGCGGGUUGAGUUUGAGUGUGCCUGUUUGGACCCGAAAGGUGGUGAACUAUGCCUGAACAAGGUGAAGCCCGGGGAAACCCAGGUGGAGGCCUGUAGCGAUGCUGACGUGCAAAUCGCUCGCAAGAUUUGGGUAUCGGAGCGAAAGACUCAUCGAACCACCUAGUAGCUGGUUCACGU
rnacentral:misc_RNA from 1 species